rnacentral:rRNA from 1 species
GCAAAGUCCGUGCCAGCGGCUGCUGUGAUACGGAGGGUGCAAGCGUUAAUCGGAAUUACUGGGCAUAAAGCGCACGCAGGCGGUCGGUCAAGUCGGAUGUGAAAUCCCCGUGCUCAACCUGGGAACUGCAUUCGAAACUGGCAGGCUAGAGUCUUGUAGAGGGGGGUAGAAUUACAGGUGUAGCGGUGAAAUGCGUAGAGAUCUGGAGGAAUACCGGUGGCGAAGGCGGCCCCCUGGACAAAGACUGACGCUCAGGUGCGAAAGCGUGGGGAGCAAACAGGAUUAGAUACCCUAGUAGUC